UUUUCCAAGGGUGACUAGUGACAUCGUCAAGCUCUUUAACUUGGGCAAGGGUAUGGCAUAUAACAUGUGAUCGAGAAUUGUCAGAGAUAAGGGGUAUAGUAUCCAAAGUCUUGGGAAGAGUCUGGAUUCCACCUAAGGAAGUGUCCUCACUAUCAUCCAAGUCAUCAAAAUCUUCAAGUUUAGGUUCAUAGACUAGAUCUUCCAACGACUCCUCUAUUACAUUCUUUCGUUCUUCC
rnacentral:lncRNA from 1 species